UUGACGAACUGGGACAAAUGGUA
rnacentral:siRNA from 1 species